AUCCAACUACGGAAGCAAUCAAGCUAGCCACGCCGGCGGCUUUGCAAGUUCGCAUGGCCGCAUUCCCAACUCGACGGCGGGAACUGACUGCUCGCCGCCGCCCGGUCAGCAUCUAGCCAUCCAGGGUAAUGGUAGUUGGAAAAGACCGAUCAAUCUUGCUUGCUGCGGCUGUAAUAACCCAAGGAGCUGUAUUGAAAAUAACUUGUGGUCGAGGGCCAUCGUUUCCCCCAGCAUAAACAAUGGUAAUCCCCUUCUGGACUGCAUGGAGUGCACCAAAUGAAUCCUCAUCAGCAUGAAUUGAGAGGGACAGGAUAUCAACUCCAUCAUGAAUUGCAUCAUCUAGAGCUGCUAGCACUCCGGCACUAGCAAGCUGUAGGCUAUUCCCUGUGUUCCAUAUGACCUUAUACACAGCAAGACGUGCUCGGGGUGCACCUCCACGGGCUACUCCUGUUGCUAGGCCAUGGACGCUGACUCCAUCUACCACUGCACCAGCUGCUAUGGAUGCUGUAUGCGUUCCAUGCCCGAUCAUGUCCCGGGCAGACAUGUAAUUCUUCUUAAAGUCAGCUUUUUCUAUACCUGCAGCAUAGUACCGUGCACCAAUGAUUUUCCUGCUGCAGUUGGUUGGCCCCCAGGCCUGUCCUAGUUGACACACGCCCUUCCAUCGUGAUGGUAUUGGUCCGUAUCCAUGAUCACUGAAGCUUCUUGAUUCAGGCCAGAUACCUGCAUCAAUUGCAUAUGUUUUCCAAUUUACGCAUUAAGGAUUUUGCAAGAAUUUGUAUGGCCAAGGUCUUUUCAGAUGAUUUGGUGAUAUUGUACUAACCAGUGUCAAUCAUUCCAAUAAUUACAUCUUCUCCAUAUUUGCUCCUCUGCAG
rnacentral:sRNA from 1 species